rnacentral:rRNA from 1 species
UACGGAGGGUCCAAGCGUUAUCCGGAAUCAUUGGGUUUAAAGGGUCCGUAGGCGGUUUUGUAAGUCAGUGGUGAAAGCCCAUCGCUCAACGGUGGAACGGCCAUUGAUACUGCAAGACUUGAAUUAUUGGGAAGUAACUAGAAUAUGUAGUGUAGCGGUGAAAUGCUUAGAGAUUACAUGGAAUACCAAUUGCGAAGGCAGGUUACUACCAAUA